GAAUAGAUGGCGUGUUUGUUUGAAAUAUCCGCUAGUAUGCAUUCAUGAAGUCUUAUGUCUAUUAUUAUAUAUUUUUUAACAAAUAUAAUUUGAUAAAUGAGAGAACGUUAUAAGCAUAUUUUUCUUAAAUAUUUAAAAGAUUAGUAAUUAUAAUAUUUUUAAAUAUGUAAUGAUAAUUAAUGUUAAACAAAGUGUGAAGUUCUUCGUAAUAUUCAAAGUGCGUAGUUCAUCGUUUGCUUCUAACUUCCUCUCACAAAAAUUACAUUUCUAUUAGUAUUUAAAACAUCAUAUAAAUAUCAACUUUUUUAUUUGGUUAAUUAUUUGAUGUAUAUAUAAUAGAAGUCGAUAUGUUGAUUAAUAUGAAACGCAUCUAAUGUAUUUCUUCUCUUUUGAUUUUAAUUGGAGCAUGUACCAGACUUUAUGGAUUACAAUCGUAGCAUUUGUAUUUAUAAAUGUUGAAAAAUGCCACCAAAACAAAGAAAAAUAGCUAUUAUGGGUUAUAGAUCCGUAGGCAAGUCAUCACUGAGUAUACAAUUCGUCGAGGGACAGUUCGUGGAUUCAUAUGAUCCUACUAUAGAAAAUAGUAAGAAGUACCUGUAUCGUCUUACACGCUACUUCAAAGAUUUCUAAUGACACUGUUAGUAGUAUUUUCUGCACAUUUUGUUAGUAAUUCAUGCUGUAAACAAGCAAUAGAUUCAUGAAAACUUAUUA